AUAGAGAGGAGGCUUUGCAUCAUCAGCUGAUCCUCCAGUGAGCUGAGAAGGUUUAUAGUCCUGUGAGUUCAACACUGCAUGACUCAGAUCUGUCAGUCAACACAGCAGAAACCACCAUGACUCUCAUCACCAUCCUCAUCUGGACGCUGACCUGCUGCUGUUUCACAGGAUGCAGCAGUCAGAUCACUGUGACUCAACCUCCAGUAGUGACAUCUACUCCUGGAUCCACUGUCACUCUGACCUGUAGAACCAGCCAAAAUGUUGCAACUUGUUCUGGUAAACAGUGUAUGUCCUGGUAUCAGCAGAAAUCUGGACAGACUCCAAAGCUCCUAAUAAAACAAGGGAGCACAACACAUUCAGGAACACCAGCUCGAUUUAGUGGCAGUGGAAGCAGCUCUGACUUCUCUAUGACCAUCACUAGUGUUCAGUCUGAAGAUGCAGCAGUUUACUACUGUAUGAGCAUCCAUCACGGUGGCGUAUUUGUAUCACUGUGGUGGACUUUUGGUGGAGGAACCAAACUCAUCAUUCAUUCUGGCCCCAUGGUCAGACCCUCAGUCUCUCUGCUUCAACCCUCCUCUAAGCAGCUCUCUGGGGGCUCAGCCACACUGGCCUGCCUGCUGACCAGCUACUCUCCUCAGGGAGCUGAGGUGAUAUGGGAGGUGGAUGACACACAGGUGACAGAGGGAAUCCUGAUCAGCUCAGAGGAGGAGAAGAGUGGACGCUACAGCAGCAGCAGCACCCUGAUGCUGAGCCGGGAGAGCUGUAUGAAUGGAGAUCUGUACUCCUGCAAGGUCAACCAUCAUGAGCACACACAGUCCCGAUCCCUCCAUAGGAGCCAGUGUGCAGGGUAG